AAGUCGUAACAAGGUUUCCGUAGGUGAACCUGCGGAAGGAUCAUUAACACGUAUCCAACGUAAAAAACCCCCCUGUGAACAUUCAAACCUGCUCUCGUAGCCCAGUGCGAUCCAGCAAUCCCGGUAAAUCAUUGUCGAACAGUAUUGAAUCGGGACUUCUGACAAAUGAGAAGUUACAGUUACGAUUGAGCGGAGAUAGCUGCAUGGCAUCCCAACGCCCCUUUACAACCCCAUUACCUCUGUGAGUCGCGGGAAACUAGCGGCUAAAAAACCUCGAACAACUGUUAACAAUGGAUAUCUUGGUUCUC
rnacentral:misc_RNA from 1 species